AGAUUGAACGCUGGCGGCAUGCUUUACACAUGCAAGUCGAACGGUAACAGGCCGCAAGGUGCUGACGAGCGGCGAACGGGUGAGUAAUGUAUCGGAACGUGCCCAGUCGUGGGGGAUAACGCAGCGAAAGCUGCGCUAAUACCGCAUACGAUCUAUGGAUGAAAGGCGGGGGACCGUAAGGCCUCGCGCGAUUGGAGCGGCCGAUAUCAGAUUAGGUAGUUGGUAGGGGUAAAGGCUCACCAAGACCAACGAUCUGUAGCUGGUCUGAGAGGACGACCAGCCACACGUGGACUGACGACACGGCCCAGACUCCACGGGAGCGAGCGAGGUGGGGUAAUUUUGGAACAAGUGGGCGACAAGCCUAGAUCCCAGCAAUGCCCGCGUGCGAA
rnacentral:rRNA from 1 species